rnacentral:miRNA from 1 species
CGAUUUAUAAUAUGAUGAUGAUGAUGAUGAUGAUGAUUAUAAGAACUAAAAUUAGCUAUCUUCCCAUCACCAUCAUCAUCAUCAUCAUCAUCAUCA